rnacentral:rRNA from 1 species
CCCCUAGAUGUUCUGGGCCGCACGCGCGCUACACUGAACAGUUCAACAAGUCUUAACCUUGGCCGAUAGGUCUGGGUAAUCUUUGAACGCUGUUCGUGAUUGGGAUAGACCUUUGCAAUUAUGGGUCUUCAACGAGGAAUUCCUAGUAAACGCAAGUCAUCAACUUGCAUUGAUUACGUCCCUGCCCUUUGUACACACCGCCCGUCGCACCUACCGAUUGAAUGGUCCGGUGAAGCCUCCGGAUUGGCGUGCACCCUCGGGUGCUGCCGAGAAGUUGGCUAAACCUUACCAUUUAGAGGAAGGUGAAGUCGUANCA